rnacentral:rRNA from 1 species
GGGGAAGUUGGGAGUCCGCAACGAGCGCAACCCCUAUCUUUAUUUGCCAGCGAGUCAUGUCGGGGACUCUAAAGAAACUGCCUACGCAAGUAGAGAGGAAGGCGGGGACGACGUCAAGUCAUCACGGCCCUUACGUCCUGGGCCACACACGUGCUACAAUGGUAGAUACAGAGGGCAGCUACCCCGCGAGGGGAUGCGGAUCUCUAAAGUCUAUCUCAGUUCGGAUUGGAGUCUGCAACUCGACUCUAUGAAGCUGGAAUCGCUACUAAUCGCGCAUCAGCCAUGGCGCGGUGAAUACGUUCCCGGGCCUUGUACACACCGCCCGUCACAUCACGAAAGCUGGCUGUACUAGAAUCGCCGAGCUAACCCGCAAGGGGGGCAGGGGCCUAAGGUAUGGUUGGUGAUUGGGGUGAACUCUUAACAAGGUACUGUAGAGAACCUGUGGCUGGCAUCACGUCCUUGCUAGAGGGGUGGGG